AGUGAACGCUGGCGGUAGGCCUAACACAUGCAAGUCGAACGGCAGCACAGUAAGAGCUUGCUCUUACGGGUGGCGAGUGGCGGACGGGUGAGGAAUACAUCGGAAUCUACUUUUUCGUGGGGGAUAACGUAGGGAAACUUACGCUAAUACCGCAUACGACCUACGGGUGAAAGCAGGGGAUCUUCGGACCUUGCGCGAUUGAAUGAGCCGAUGUCGGAUUAGCUAGUUGGCGGGGUAAAGGCCCACCAAGGCGACGAUCCGUAGCUGGUCUGAGAGGAUGAUCAGCCACACUGGAACUGAGACACGGUCCAGACUCCUACGGGAGGCAGCAGUGGGGAAUAUUGGACAAUGGGCGCAAGCCUGAUCCAGCCAUACCGCGUGGGUGAAGAAGGCCUUCGGGUUGUAAAGCCCUUUUGUUGGGAAAGAAAAGCAGCAGGUUAAUACCCCGCUGUUCUGACGGUACCCAAAGAAUAAACACCGGCUAACUUCAU
rnacentral:rRNA from 1 species